rnacentral:rRNA from 1 species
GGAGUGAACGCUAGCGGCAGGCUUAAUACAUGCAAGUCGUGGGGCAGCAGGUUUGUAGCAAUACAGAUGCUGGCGACCGGCAAACGGGUGCGGAACACGUACAGAACCUUCCUUUGAGCGGGGAAUAGCCCAGAGAAAUUUGGAUUAAUACCCCAUAGUAUAAUGAAGUGGCAUCACUUUAUUAUUAAAGAUUUAUCACUCGAAGAUGGCUGUGCGGCUGAUUAGGUAGUUGGCGGGGUAAAGGCCCACCAAGCCUGCGAUCAGUAACUGGUGUGAGAGCACGACCAGUCACACGGGCACUGAGACACGGGCCCGACUCCUACGGGAGGCAGCAGUAAGGAAUAUUGGUCAAUGGAGGCAACUCUGAACCAGCCAUGCCGCGUGGAGGAUGAAGGUCCUCUGGAUUGUAAACUUCUUUUAUAUGGGACGAAAAAAGGCUUUUCUAAGUCGUCUGACGGUACCAUAUGAAUAAGCACCGGCUAACUCCGUG